AGGGUUCGAUUCUGGCUCAGGAUGAACGCUGGCGGCGUGCUAACACAUGCAAGUCGAACGGAGCUUAAGGAGGCGGAGUUUUCGGAACGAAGCGCCAUAAGCUUAGUGGCGGACGGGUGAGUAACGCGUGGGCAACCUGCCGUAUGCAGGGGGACAACAGCCGGAAACGGCUGCUAAUACCGCAUAAGCGCAAGAGGGCGCAUGUCUUUUUGCGGAAAGCUAAGGCGGCAUACGAUGGGCCCGCGUUGGAUUAGGUAGUUGGCGGGGCAACGGCCCACCAAGCCCGCGAUCCAUAGCCGGCCUGAGAGGGCGACCGGCCACAUUGGGACUGAGACACGGCCCAGACUCCUACGGGAGGCAGCAGUGGGGGAUAUUGCACAAUGGGGGAAACCCUGAUGCAGCGAACCGCCGCGUGAGUGAAGAAGUAUUUCGGUAUGUAAAGCUCUAUCAGCAGGGAAGAUAAUGACGGUACCUGACUAAGAAGCACCGGCUAAAUACGUGCCAGCCGCUGC
rnacentral:rRNA from 1 species